ACUCCUACGGGAGGCAGCAGUGGGGAAUUUUGGACAAUGGGCGAAAGCCUGAUCCAGCAAUGCCGCGUGUGUGAAGAAGGCCUUCGGGUUGUAAAGCACUUUUGUCCGGAAAGAAAUGGCUCUGGUUAAUACCUGGGGUCGAUGACGGUACCGGAAGAAUAAGGACCGGCUAACUACGUGCCAGCAGCCGCGGUAAUA
rnacentral:rRNA from 1 species